rnacentral:misc_RNA from 1 species
AACGCACAUUGCACUGUUUGGUAUUCCAGGCAGUAUGCUUGUUUGAGUAUCAGUAAAAACACCUCACUCCAAUGGAAACUCGUAGCUUUGAUAAAAAAAAGCUUGGGUGACUUUGGUAGUGGAUCUGAGUCGUCGGAUUUGGAGGGAUUUUUCUUUUUCAGAAUCCGUGACUCGAAAUAAAGUUCGGGUGCACGUUUUUUGUUUUUUUCCUUGGGGAGUGCCUAACGGUGAGAUAGUCUUCCAGUCGGAAGUUGUCGCCAGAGAAAGCACCCCCAGUUUGUAAGGAAAACAAACGAGCAUUCGCUUUCUUUUUGACCCCUAUAGUCCCAGUGUUCACACAGUUUGUGUUUUGCUGGCCUGACUGACCACUUGAUCUCAAAUCAAGCAAGACUACCCGCUGAACUUAA